rnacentral:rRNA from 1 species
AUACGGAGGGUGCGAGCGUUAAUCGGAAUUACUGGGCGUAAAGAGCGCGUAGGUGGCUUGGUAAGUCGGAUGUGAAAGCCCCGGGCUUAACCUGGGAAUGGCAUUCGAAACUGCCAGGCUAGAGUAUGGUAGAGGGAAGUGGAAUUCCGGGUGUAGCGGUGAAAUGCGUAGAUAUCCGGAGGAACGCCAGUGGCGAAGGCGGCUUCCUGGACCAAUACUGACACUGAGGUGCGAAAGCGUGGGGAGCAAACAGGAUUAGAUACCCCGGUAGUCC